UAAUGAUCUUCAUCAAUAUCAAGUAUAUCUGCUGGUUGAAAUAACAUAUUGAUGACUAGUUGAGAUCCACUAUAUAUUUGGAUCAAAUAGUACCAAAUUAUUGUAGAUAAUGCAACUUAUUAUAUAUAAUGGGGAAAAAAAAGCGACAUAAAAUGAGACCUAUUUAUUGAAUGGUGAGAAAGUGUGAUGAAAGCUGAUGAUGAGAUCUGGGAGUUGAGGGAUGAUGGCUUCAAACUCCUUUGCGACGACCAAAUGCCGCGCCCAUUGAUGGUGGCUUAUGGCUUGAAGCCCCUUUUGAAGAAGUAUUUAUUAUUGCACGUGGCUUUGAUAAUGGUUCAGGGCACAAAGAACCUUUGAUGCUAUACGAGCUUGGGUUGGUUGAAGUUUUUGGGUUGCUUUCAUCAUCCUUUGGGGCUGGAGUUGGACGAGGUGGUGUUGGACACGAACAAAUCUCUUAUUUGAUUCAUGUUUGGGUAUAUUUUUUUGGUAUUUGGUGUCUCCAUUUUUAUGGUUUAUGCACCAAAGGAAUCAAGAGAUUAGGGAUAAGUAGCAAUGAAGUGAAGAAAAAAAAAAGGCUUCAAGAGAGAGAAAUGAG
rnacentral:lncRNA from 1 species